UACGGAGGGGUGCAAGCGUUAAUCGGAAUUACUGGGCGUAAAGGGCGCGUAGGCGGUACUUCAGGUCAGGCGUGAAAGCCCCGGGCUCAACCUGGGAACCGCGCUUGAGACUGGAGAACUAGAGUUCGGGAGAGGAUGGUGGAAUUCCCAGUGUAGAGGUGAAAUUCGUAGAUAUGGGGAGGAACACCGGUGGCGAAGGCGACCAUCUGGACGGAUACUGACGCUGAGACGCGAAAGCGUGGGGAGCAAACAGG
rnacentral:rRNA from 1 species